CUAAUGGCAUAUUAAGGAACCCUUUUAAUGCUUCUUUUUGUUUCUGAACAUCAGGUUUAGAUGCUUGGUUUGACAUGGAGGUUUCGCUGCUCAUAGUUCUAGUCCUGCUUGCAAGUUCUGUCAAGAGACCUUUAGAUGUUGCAUGCACAUCUUGGGAAGAUUUUACAGGCUCUGAGGGAGGAUCCUGCCAUGCAAACAAAACAGAUACUGAAACUUUAAAAUAUCAGUUUUAGCUGACAAAGGCAAAACAUCUGUGUAGUUUUCUAUUUGAGUAGUACUGUAGAAGGCGGAGGAAUCAGCGUCUUCUUUAUGAUUCGAUUUUAAACCGAAUCGAUCAACUGCUUCACCCUAAAAAUAAUUACCUUUGGAAGAAUCUUUGUCUCAACAGUCACUGAAGGAGGAGGUGAUGACUUGAUGACUUCCUUAUCGCUGGUGGGAGUAGCAGUAGCUUGAAUGCCUUCUUUGGUCUGGUUCAGUGGUUUAGUGUCUACUUUUGCUUUAGUAUCAACUACUUUUUCAGAUGAAGGAACCUGGCUUGUUGGUGGUGCAGCCACUGGCUCAGAUGGUUUAGUUUCAUCCUUAGCCUCUUGCUUUUUAGGUUCAGGCUUUGAGUAAUGCUUGACACUACGAACAAGAAUCUCAACUUCAAGUAUAAGGGUGUCGCCCACAAGAUAACCUUCAGCAGAAUUUUUUAUUUUGCUAAGAGGAAUAAAAGAUGUGAAACCCCAAUCUUUCUCAAUUGCUUUGAAUACAUGUUGUGUAUCUGCAAAACAUGAGAGGAAAAGACAAUGUUAUGGGCAUUCUCUGCACAAUCUAAAAAUUUUAAUUUUUAGACUAAAUUGAGAUUAAAUUGACACUUUUAGGUUAAUUUGAAUAAAAAAUGUAAAAUGGGCUGAAUUAAACACACUCAAUAAAUAUAGGGGUGGAAUUGAAAAUUUAAUCUUUUUUAUUUGGACAAGGAUAUGUACAUAUGCUAAAUGAGAGUACCUUUUCUAACAGUUAGACUCUUAUUGAUUUGAUUAAUAACUGCAAAGCUAAAUUUUGCAUCUCUGCUCCAUUCUUGCGGCAAACUUGUUGAGUCGGCGACUGCCAAGUAUAUUGACAAAUAAUCCACUUUAUUUCCUUUGGGAAAAACAAGCAAACACCUGCCGUAAAGUAAAAAGAGAAAAUAAUAUUUAUUCUGUGUAAUAUAAAAAAAAUUGUUAGUUAAAUUUUAUGAAGGAAUUUAUUAAUUAGGUUUAUUAUUUUUGAAAAGUAUAAAAUUUUAAAAAAUUUAAUAAUUAAUUUCUUUUUUAGUUUUAGAAAAAUUUACUAUAUAUAAUUAUUGGGUUAACUAAAUAAUCUAACAGUUUUGUAAAAAUAUUUACCCAUUAAUCUUUUUAUAUUACAAAUAUUUUAAAUUUUUUAUAACACUUAAUAAUUAAAUUUAAUGAAUAAACUAAUUAAUAGUUUCUACCUUCCAUAAUUUUUUUUAAAUUUACUUUCAAAUUGAUUAAGAAAAAUAACUUUUUUAUUAAUUUUUAAUUAUCACACUUAAAAAUAUUAAAUUUUAUUAUAUAUUAAAAAAUAUUUUAAUAAUCAAUGGGAAAUUAUUUUUGAAAUAAAAUAAAAUAAAAUUAUAAUAAUUAAUUAAUUUAUUAAUUAUGUAUAAAAAAAGUAAAUAAUAAUUUUGGACAACAAAACAAAAGAUGAACAAAAAUAAUAGGACGAAGAGAGUAAAUUUAAAAAAAAAUUUACAAUUUUUAAUAUAUUUUUUUAAAAUUAAAAAAUUAAUUAAUAAAUAUUUUCAUAUUAAAAAUAUUACUUUUAACCAUUAAAUAUAUCAAAAUUUACACGAGAUUUUUUAAAAAUUAUAUUAAUUAUUUAUCUUUCAAUGAAUUUAUUAGUAAAUUUUUUAAAAUAUUAAAAAUAUUUUUUAAAAUUAUAAAAAUUAAUUAAUCAAUUUUCCAUUUUAACCUCAAUUGCAUCAGAAAGAUAAAAAUAAAUAAAUAAAUAAUAAUUUGAGGAGAAGAGAUGAAGGAUACCAUUGACAACCGCCAGCAUAGAAAACCUCAGAAUAAAGUUCUUUUGGAGUCAAUGUGGAGAAAUUGUUAAUUCUCCAUGUGAAUUUAAAUGGAGUUGCAUCCCCCAUGUUAAUUGCUCUAAUUCCUGCAAAAUUAAAAAAAAAUAUUUUUAUUAUUUAAAAUAAAAAAAAUCAAUUCUUUUUAAUUUAAAAAAAAUUCAUUUUAAAAAAUUAAAAUCUUAUAUAAUUUUAUAAAAAUUAAUCUAAAUUAUUUUUCAUAAAAUGAAUGGGAUAAAGUUAAUUGUUUUAAUAAUAAUAAUAAAUUAAUGCAUAUAAUUUUAAAUAGUUAUAAUUAUGAAAUAUUUUAUUUCUCCAAUCGAAUCGGUAUAUCAAUAUCAAUUCGAUUCGAGAUUUCAUCCAAACUACAAUUUAACUCUCGUAGAAGUGUCAGGCCUAAAAUCUAUCAAAAUCUACUAAGCAAGCUAGCCUAUUAGCGUGCAAUCCGGUCUACAAUCGAGUAGAUCGGAUUGAUGGGCUCGAACUCAUCAAAGAGACCUAGCUAUACUAUGACCCUAUCAGCAUGAGUGCUGAAAGAGAAUUAAAUAGUUGUCUGAUAAUGAUGAGAAAGCAGUUACGUCUGGACGUAUGACUCUACAUAAUAACGACAAAUAGCAUUGUAGUAAAGUAACGGUUAUGCGUCACUAGAUAACAAAAUAAAAAUGAAAAAUAAAAAAUGUAAACCAUUCAUAUUAAACUCACUCACACAGAAAAAAAUUCUACCUUCAAAUCAUCAGAUAAUAUAAAAUUUUCUUACUCAUCAGAUAAUAUAAAAUUUUCUUACUGACUUUCGCAUAUAAAAGUAUUAUAUACAACUUUAAUGUAUGAAAUAGAUAGAUUUUAACCAUCCAUUAUAAUAAAAUACACACAAAAAUCACUAUAAUUAAUGAAUUUAAUAAAAUUAUUACACAUAUAAUAAUAAUAAUAAUUUUGAAAUAUCUCCUUUCAUAGGCUAUAAAUAGCAAAUAAUGAAAUAGUUUAUAGAGAAAUUUAAGAGAAUCAAACAAAGAAAAACAUAAAUACCUUGAAGGAUUGGGUGAGAGUGUUAGAAAAAGGCAAGUUCUUGAAAAUCACAUACUGCAAUUAUAUAUAAUAAAGAUAAGCCUCAAUUACUUGUAAAUUUAUCUUUCCAUAUUCUGACCAAUCUCUUACUUUUCAAUUUCCAUGAUUCUUUCCUUUUGAUAUCAAGGAAUUACUUCCACACUGUGUGUGCUUUAUUCCCUUCCUUUCUUUCCUUAAUUAUCCUAUUAACUUUUUAUAAUUUAUAAUGUGGUUUUUCAAAUUUAUUAAAAUUCAAAAUUUGUACCCGUUUGUUUCUAAAAAAUAAUAAUUUAUAUUUAAAAAUAUUUUUUUAGAAAAUUUUUUCAACAAAAUAAUUUAUUUUAUAUUUUUUAAUUUUAAUUUAAAAAAUAAAAUAUAUUAAUCAUUUAUAUAUAUAAUUGUUAAUAAAUUUUUAAAAUAUAGAAAAUGACUUAAUUUUUUUAAUUAAAAAAAUAUUUUUUAUUAACUAAUAUUUUUAAGUGUUUUAAAUAUUAAAACAUAUAAAAAAUUAUUUAUGUGAAAAGUAUUUUCUACAAAAUAAAUGGAGCUUUAGUUAUUAUUAUUUUAAUGAAAAAUAAUUUAAUAUUUAAGAUACUAUUUUGUUAAAAUAGUCGCUCUGUUGAAUCUCGUUAUUAAAUUAUAUCAAUUUAAUUAUUUAAAAGUAGGUUAAUCUUUUUAAUUUUAAUAAUUUAUAUAAUUUAAUUUUUAUAAUUUUAAUAUUAAUAAUAAUUUAUUCUCUUUAAUUUAUUUUAAUUUUUUAAUUAACAGUUGGCUAAUGAUAAAUUUAAUAAAAAAAUUAUUUUAUUAAUAAAAUAAAUAUUUAAAGUUUAAAUUAUCUACUACUAAAAAAAUAUAAAUUAAAUUAUAGAUUUUGUUAAAUUUAAGAAAUUAUACUAUAAAUUACACCACGUUUUCCUCUCUUUUUUUUUUUUCUUUUGGUGCAUUUUCCCAAUAUUAAAUUGAAUAAUGGAAUUGCCAUAAAAUAAAAUUAUAUUUUAAUAUAAAAAUUAAAUUAUUACAAUAUGCCAUGUGCGUUUGAGUCCCUGAUCUUUAAUAUAUUAUUAUAAAAUCUCUCAUCUUUACAAUUAUUGCAUAAAAAUCUCUAUCUUUAAAAAUAAUAUUUAAAAAUCCCUGAUCUUUAUGAAGGUUUCAUAAAAAUCCUUCAGAUCAUUUUUAAUUUAUUUGUCCAAGAAAAUUGAUAUGUAAAAAUAUCACUGUAUAAAAAAUAAAAAAUAAAAAAUAAAUAUAUGCAAAAGGAGAAAUAUUGUUAAUAUUUUAAGUGGUUUGAAUAUUUUUUAAUUUUUAUAAUGUAAAACUGCUAUGUAUAAGUUCUGGAAAAUAUAUGAGUACAAAAUAGUUUAAGGGAUUUUUAUAUAAUAUAUUUAAAAAUGGAGAGGUUUUGUGAUAAUAAAUUAAAAAUGUGGAACUCAAAUGCAAUAAUCUAUCAAAUUGAGGAUGAUAGCAAAGCCACCCACUUUUUACUGGAACUCGGUUAAAGUGUGCAUGCUUAUAUAUAAUAAGAUUUUGGCUAAAAAAAAAAAUUUCGGCUUAAAAAAAUUAUAACUUUGUGGUUUUGUUGUAUAUUUUGUUUUCAGAAAAGAUCAGCAAUAUGGUAAGUAAACCGAGAAUAGAAGUUUCUUUAAUAUAUUUAAAGCAUCUUAUUUUUCUAUAAAGAAUUAUUUUAAAAAAAAUAGAGAAAUGAAAGUGCAGUAAAUUGAAAAUUUAAAAGAGCGGUUUAAAUAAAAGUUAGAGCAAAAACAAAGAUUCAUUGAGUUAAAAAUUAAAAGGGUGGCUCAAGAAUGAGUUAAGGUCUAAAGAGUGCAGAAAAGAUAAAGUAUAGGCCGAAAACCAUUAUACUAUCAUAGUCUAUUAUUUGAGGUCUCUCCCACAGCUUAUCUUAGAAUUUGGAUGAACAUCUUCAAGAAGAAAGAUCCCCAGUGAAUAAGUGUAAUACCCGGCUAGACCCCGGUAUCGGAAUUCCUACGUUCCGGCGGAUUUUCCGUUGGAAUCCGGGAUUCGAGGAUGUCGGAGCUUGCCCUAAGGGUAUUAGAGAGGUUUUUAAAAUGGUUUUAUCAAGUUUGCAUGAUUUUGAGUUAAGAAAAUUGNNNNNNNNNNNNNNNNNNNNNNNNNNNNNNNNNNNNNNNNNNNNNNNNNNNNNGUUUGCAUUUUAUUUUUAAAAACGGUUUUCUUGCAUUAAAGUUUAAAAAAAAAAAAAGAAAAAUAGAAUUCUUCAGCGGAGGACAUCAUAAAAAUCAAUAAUUUAGAAAAGAGAAAAUCAAAGAGAAAAAAAGAGAGAAGAAAAAUCAUAAGAGACAAAAUUAGAGGAAACAAGAAAAGAGAAAAGUAGAAAGAAUCAAAGCAGAUAAAUUAGAAAGAAAAAUCCAAAAAAUAGAAGACUGAGGUUUUCUAAAUAAGUCAUAAUUUUUUUAAAAAAUAGAAUUAAAUUUUAUGAUAAGACUAUCAGGCACACAUGGAGCAUACAAUAUGUUUUGUAAAAUAUCACAUACAUGCAUCAACAUAUCAUCUAUAAAUGUCUAAAGAGUAGCAUGCAUACAUCACUAAAAAACUUUAGUUAUACCUAUAAGGCAUAGAUAAUAUGCGUGGAAAGUAUCUUGAUUCAAGAUACGUAAUCUAGUUUAUUGUCGAUUAUGUGAGGAUUUAAUUCUCCUUCACAGGAGACACAUAGGAAACUUAGGAUAACUUAGGAGAACCUACAUGUGAAUCCUCAAAAUCACACGGUCAUAAUCAUAUUGCAUCUUCUCAAGAGUUUUAAGGUACAAAGCAUGCCUUAAAGCUUCUACAAUAGACUCAGGAUAUGGAGUCUAGGUUUUUUCAAACUACGUGAAAGUUUGAUUCUUUUAAAAUAGAAGAUACAUAGAAAGUCUAUAAAAAUCUAGGUGCAAACCUCAAAAAUACAAUCACAGUCACAGUUGAGUCAGUUGCAUAAGUCCUAAUUGAAAUAGUUAUAGAAGAUGGCGAGCUAAAACCUUAUGCUGUAUUAAGACUCUUUAAUGAACCUCGAACACUAUCCAACCUUUGUUAAAGUGGAGGACAAACAGUAGAUCUAUAUUUUUGUUAGUAAUAUGCCCUACAGCCAAUCUGUUGAUUGUAGUUAAAUAUUAUUGUUAAUAUAUUUUAAGGCAGUUAUUAAUCUUUAGUGUUAAUUUAAUUGAACCUCAAGUAAAGAUAAAGUUCAUGAGACUAUAUUACUAUGCAAAGAAAAUUAUAAUGUAGUUAUAAUUAAGAGAUUCCAAUUACAUUUAACUAAUGUCUCUAAAGAAGUCCUUUCCCUGGUACAGACUUUAGGCAUCUCAAGAUGCAAAGUACAACCUACAUAUAAGUCUCGCGAGGGUCAUGUAUGAAUUGGCUGACUAAGCUAACAGCAUAGGCUAUGUCCGGUCGAGUGUAUGAGAGAUAAAUCAACCUUCCUACCAUUCUCUAGCAUCUUCCAAUAUUCACGGAAUCACCAGUUCUUGCUUCCAGCUUGUGAUUACUUUCAAUAGGAGAUUAUGUUGGUUCACACCCCAUCAUACUAGUUUCUUUUUAAAGAUCUAGAAUACUUUCUUUGGGAGAUGAAAAUUCCUUUUUCUGAUUUGGCCACCUCGAUACCUAGGAAAUAUUAUAGUUUUUUUAGGUCUUUGAUUUCAAAUUCCUGAGCCAACAACCACUUUAGUUGAGCCAUUUCCUCUUUAUCAUCACCCGUCACCACUAGAUCAACAACAUACAUAAUAAGAAGGGUGAUCUUACCCUUGUGAUAUUUGAUAAAAAGUGUAUGAUCAAUAUUGCUUUGUUGAUAAUCAAAGGAUAUCAUGACUCUGCUAAACCUAUCAAACCAAACUUUGGGAGAUUGUUUUAGCUCAUACAAAGCCUUUUUUUAACCUGCAUACCUUUUCUUGCGUCUUCUCAUCAGCGAACCCAGGAGGAAUUUCCAUGAACACUCCUUCCUCUAAAUCUCCAUGGAAGAAAGCAUUCUUCACAUCAAACUGUUGUAAGUCCCAGUCCAAGUUGGCUGCGCAAGAUAACAGAACUCUGAUUGAGUUUAUUUUUGCAAUUAGGGAAAAUGUCUCUUAGUAAUCCACUCUAUAAAUUUGGGUGAAUCCUUUGGCAACUAAUCUGGCCUUAAACCGUUUAAUUGUACCAUCAGCUUUGUGUUUCACUGUGAACAUCCAAUUACAAUCAAUGAGUUUCUUUCCAGAUGGGAGAGUGACAAGCUCCUAGGUCUCAUUUUUAGCCAAUGCUUUCUUCUCUUCAAUUAUUGCUUCUUUCCAUUUAGGAUCUGCAAGAGUUUUCUUCCAAUCCUGUGAAAUAGACACAAAGAAAAUAGACAAGGCAAAGGCUCUAUAGGAAGGAGACAAGGAUUCAUAAGAAACAAAGUUAGAAAUAGGGUGUUUAGUACACGAUCUGACCCCUUUUCUUUGUACAAUAGGUUUAUCUAAGUCAUUCGAGCAUUCAAGAGUUGUGGGUAACUCACUACAAGAAGAUUCUUGAUUGGGUAACUCACCAGAAGAAGAUUCUUGACUCUGAGUAGAUUGCAUAAUGGCUUCUUCUACCUUGUCUCUCCUCGAAUACCUUCUCAAAUCUAACUUGUCCAAACGACCAAUUCUCUCUCCCUGAUUGGACAUCUCCCCCUGUCUACUAGAACUCAAACUCUCUAGUUGAACCAUAUCAUCCAGAAUCACAGAAUUCAAGAUCACCUCUUCUUGCUCAUUAUUCUCCCCUUGAAGAGGUGAGUGGGAGGUACUAAAGUAGGGUUCAGUUUCUCGAAAGGUAACAUCCAUACUGACUAAGUAUUUCUUAGAGGGAGGGUAAUAACACUUUUAUCCCUUCUGUGUCGGAGAAUACCCAACAAAAACACAUUUAAGGGUCUUGGGAUCUAAUUUCCAUAUCGUCCUAGUAUGGACAAAGUAAACACACCCAAAUACUUUUGAUGGAAUAACGUAUGAUUUCUUCCCUUGUAGAACCGCCAAAGGACUCAAAAUCAAGGGCCUUGAGAGGCAUUCUAUUAAUAAGAUAAGCAAAUACAAGGAUUGCAUCUCCAUAAUAUGCUUUGGAUAGAUUCGUGGUGAAUAUAAGAGAUCAAACUACUUCCAAUAUAUAUAUGCCUAUUCUUUCCCUCAGCAAUGCCAUUUUGAGCACUAGUAUAAGGACAACUAGUCUGGUGUACUAUCUCAUUACUCUCAGCAAUAUUUUGGGUGGAACAACGUAUGAAUUUUUCCCUUGUAGAACCGCCAAAGGACUCAAAAUCAAGGGUCUUAAGAGGCAUUCUAUUAAUAAGAUAAGCAGAUACAAGGAUUGCAUCUCCCCAAUAUGCUUUGUGUAGAUUCAUGGUGAACAUAAGAGAUCAAGCUACUUCUGAUAUAUGCCUAUUCUUUCUCUCAGCAAUGCCAUUUUGAGCACUAUUAUAAGGACAACUAGUAUGGUGUACUAUCUCAUUACUCUCCAAAUAAGCAGAAAAGCUACUAUCCAUGUAUUCUCUUCCAUUAUCAGUUCUCAAAAUUUUCACCUUAGUAUCAAAUUGAGUACAAACUAUCUUAUGAAAGGAUUGAAAACAAGAAAAGGCAUCACUUUUAGCUUUAAUUAAAUAGACCCAAGUUAUUCGAGUGCAACAAUCAAUAAAGGUGACAAACCAUCUAUUACCAGAUAAGGAGACAGUUUGAGUAGGCCCUCAAACAUCAAAAUGAAUAGUCGCAAAAGGAAUUUGACUUUUAUUAUAACUCAAAGGAUAGGAUGUUCUAAUGUGUUUAGCAUACUCACAAGCAUCACAAAAUAGAGAACCAAAUUGAAUUCUAGCAAACAAAUUAGGAUAAAGGUUUUCUAAGGUAAAAAAUGAUGUAUGCCCUAAUCGUCUGUGCUACUGUAUUAUUUCCUGAUUGACAUCCUUAUUUUCUCUAAAACAGGCUUGAGAUAUCAAAGAACUUGGAUCACCCUCCAACAUAUAUAAGCUAUCAUGCAGCCCACCAUUGCCAGUCCUCUUCCCUGUGCGAAGGUCCUAAAUAACACAAUGAUCAGGAAAGAAUUCAAUUUUACAGUUAAGGGCAUUGGUGAUAGCACUGACAGAUAAAAAUUUGACAGGAAAGUGGGAAACAUGAAGAACAAAUGAUAAUUUAAUGUUGGAUGUGCAAAUAACAGAACCUGUUCCGGAUAUGGGAGUAAAAGAGCCAUCAGCAAUUCUGACACUAUCUUUGGUUAGAGAAGAACAAUAAUUGAGAAAGUCUUUAGAAGAGCCUAUCAUGUAUCUAUUCGCACAAGAAUCGAUAAUCCAUGGAACAUUAUUAAGAGAGGAAGCAUUACCUGACUUUACAAAGUUAGAUGUGGCACCAGAGGAUGAGUAAUUAAAGUUAGGAAUCGAGACCCUUUUACCUUCUGCCAGGGUAAAGAUUUAUGAACCGUGAAAGAAUAGGAGGUAUCUAAGGUAGUGCACACAAGAGAGCCCAAUCAAUUCACCAAAAGACCAGGUAGCAGCACGGAAAGGCCAAAAAGAUGGUCGGAAUCAUCACCGGAGUGAUCAACGCGGUGAAACAACGUUAGGCAAUGGAUCACGUGCCGAAAAGCGAUGGGUCAUGCACCGGAAAGAGGAGCCGCGUGAGCCUCACGUGUAGACUUUUUCGGCGUCAGAGCUGGGUGAUUGGCCGGCGACAGUCUGACGAUUCUCCUGGUGGCGGUGAGAGGAGAAAAGGCUCCUAGAUGGGUUAGUACUAACAAAGGUAGAUCUAGGGUUUUGAAAUCCUACAGAGGAAAAAUUGAAUUUGAAUCCUAAAAUUCAGAAAAAAAACUCUGAUACCAUGUAGAAUUUUGGAAAAAUUUAUAGUAUUCUUAUAUUUCACUCUUAAUCUUUAUAAUUGGUCUACAUGACUAUUUAUACAGAAAAAAUUAUAUUUAAAUAUGAAGCAAAUAAUAAAAUAAUAAUUAUGUAGAUGAUUAAGAAUUCAAAUCAAAUCAAAUCAUAUCUCUAGAAUCAAUUAGGAUCAGCAAAUAAAACAACAUGAAUUUAAUUGGAAUAACAUCACUCAUGUAAGUUGCCUUGAAUCCUGGACAAUAAAAUUGAUAAAAGAUAAUUGUAAAAUCACCCUACCAAAAGUCAUAUAUAUANNNNNNNNNNNNNNNNNNNNNNNNNNNNNNNNNNNUAUAUAUAUAUGUUUGUGUAUAUUGGCUUCAAGGUGGAACAAAAGGGUCCUAUCUCAAGAUUUAAUAUAAGGCAGGUAUUUUUAUUCUUUCUUGAUAUUGUUUUAUCCCUAAAUAAUCUACAUUGAUCAAAAUAAAGAGGUUUAGAUGCUUGGUUUGACAUGGAGGUUUCGCUGCUCAUAGUCCUAGUCCUGCUUGCAAGUUCUGUCAAGAGACCUUUAGAUGUUGCAUGCACAUCUUGGGAAGAUUUUACAGGCUCAGAGGGAGGAUCCUGCCAUGCAAACAAAACAGAUACUGAAACUUUAAAAUAUCAGAUUUAGGUGACAAAGGCAAAACAUCUGUGUAGUUUUCUAUUGAGUAGUACUGUAGAAGGCGGAGGAAUCAGUCUCUUCUGCCUGAUUCGAUUUUAAAUCGAACCGAUCACCUGCUAAUCUUAAAAAUGGUUACCUUUGGAAGAAUCUUUGUCUCAACAGUCACUGAAGGAAGAGGUGAUGAUUUGAUGACUUCCUUAUCGCUGGUGGGAGUAGCAGCAGCUUGAAUGCCUUCUUUGGUCUGGUUCAGUGGUUUAGU
rnacentral:lncRNA from 1 species